GCAAUCGCAUAGAACUACGCUUAUACUUACAGCUAAGACUCGGUUCCUCCGCGAACUUUAACAAUUUUUCCUCAUUUUUCUCUGUUCAAAUGUAGAAAUUUAAUCCAUUCUAUAAUCAAAAUUUUAAUUUCUCUAAAAUUUUUAAUAUUAAAAAAAAAGUUUGGAGUUGAAUUGAGAAAUAGUUGUAGGUAGAUUCGGAAAUCCGAUGACAACGAUUUUCAGUCCCGGUCGGAGCCCCGGAAGUUCGAGGCUUCAGUUAGGAACAGCUAGUGGAGUGUCCAGGCUUAGAUCUUCGUCGCUUAAGAAGCCGCCGGAGCCGUUGCGCAGGUCGGUGGCGGAUUGUCUUUCUUCUUCGUCGUCUUCUUCUUUUUCGCCGGCGGCGGGGGCUGGAGGUCUUAGUUCGUAUCACCAUGGAAGUCAGUUGGUUUUAAAUGAAGCUUCGAGGACACUUCGGGACUAUCUGGCAGCACCCUCAACAACUGACCAGUCUUACAUUGUUAUUUUAGAGCAUACAAUUGCAGAGAGAGAACGCAGCCCAGCUGUAGUGGGAAGGUGUGUGGCACUCCUGAAGCGAUAUCUCUUAAGGUAUAAGCCCAGUGAGGAGACGUUGCUGCAAAUAGAUCGGUUUUGUGUCAGCUUAAUUGCUGAAUGUGACAUAAGUCCAAAUCAAAGGUUGUCACCUUGGUCUCGGUCUUUAAAUCAACAAUCGGGUUCAUCAGCAAUAUCAACAUCAUCUGCAAGUGCUUCUCCUUUGUUGCCUGUAUCUAGUUUUGCUUCUGUAGCCCUUGUAAAGUCUUUGAAUUAUGUGAGAUCCUUAGUGGCUCAACAUAUUCCAAAGCGUUCAUUCCAGCCGGCAGGUUUUGCUGGGGCAACCUUGGCAUCGAGGCAGUCAUUUCCUUCGUUGACAUCUUUGUUGAGUAGAUCUUUCAAUUCCCAGCGAUGCCCUGUGAAUGUUGGAGAGUCUUCAGAGAAGAAAGAUGCUACAGCUUUAUCUGUUUCAAACUUGUCAAACAUUGAGGACGCUGAUCGAAUAGAGAAUCCUGAAUAUAUUGCACAUGAUGUUUUGAAAUGGCGCUGGCUUAGGGAUCAUCAGUCACCCUUUACUGAAAGUGACCACUCUGCGUAUGUGCAAGACAUGAGUGCACAUAAUUUCUUAGAGGUAGGAGCAGCUGCUUUACUUGUUGGAGACAUGGAAGCAAAAAUGAAUGGCCAGCCCUGGAAAUAUUUUGGCACUGCUGAUAUGCCUUAUCUUGAUCAACUCUUACAGCCUUCACCAGUCACAACAAUUGCCAAUUCUGCUUCUGCUCGCUCCCAUUUGAGAGCAAUUACAGCAUUGAAACGCAGUAAAGGAGGACCUCAUCAAAUUUGGGAUGAUUCUCCUGCAAGCACAUUCCGCCCACGUGCCCGACCACUUUUCCAAUAUCGCCAUUACAGUGAACAACAACCUUUGCGUUUGAACCCUGCUGAGGUAUGCGAGGUCAUUGCAGCCGUCUGCUCUGAGACAUCUUUAACAAAUGCUAAUACCAUGACGGUAUCUUCUAGAUUAAGUAAUAACAGUGCAAAGCCAUCAAUGGAUGUGGCUGUGAGCGUCCUUAUUAAGCUGGUUAUUGACAUGUAUGUCUUGGAUUCUGGAACUGCUGCUCCUCUCACUCUAUCUAUGCUUGAGGAGAUGCUUAGUUCUCCAAGGUCAGCGUGUAGGGUGCGUGCUUUUGAUUUAAUUCUAAACCUUGCAGUCCAUGCUCACUUGUUAGAGCCACUGAUAAUUGAUGAUAAUUCUGCAAUUGAGGAAGAGUAUUCUCAAGAAUUACUUUUAAAUAGUGAAGAUCAGCUUACCACGCAAGGGAGAAGGAAACUAGCUUCUUCCAAGAAGUUGGGAAGCACCUCAGCUAUUGAUAAAUUUGAGUCUUGGAUUUUAAACAUUUUAUAUGAUAUACUUCUUCUUCUUGUUCAGAUUGACGAGAUGGAAGAAGCUGUCUGGGCUUCUGCCCUAAGCUGUUUACUAUAUUUUGUGUGCGAUAGAGGCAACAUUUGGAGAAAUCGAUUAAAAGGACUUGACAUCAGGGUUGUCAAGUCAAUUUUGGUGAUUAGCCGGAUAAAUUCCUGGGCUGAAGUUGUGCAUUGCAAGCUUGUUUGUAUCCUAACAAACAUGUUAUAUCAAGUACCUGAUGAAUCUACUAAGGCCGUCAUGAGUACAGCUAAUUUUCUUGUUGACCAGCUUGACCUGAUUGGAGGAAUUGAUUUUAUCUUCAUUGAGUAUUCAUUGUCAACCUCAAGGGACGAAAGAAAGCAUCUUUAUUUGGUGCUUUUCGACUAUGUUUUGCAUCAAAUAAAUGAAACAUGCAUAUCAACCGGAGCUUUUGAAUAUAAUGAUGAUGAGAUUCAGCCAAUUGCUGCACUGCUUACUUUGGCUGAUGCACCGGAAGCCUUUUAUAUCUCUGUUAAGCUAGGGGUGGAAGGCAUUGGGGAGCUUUUGAGAAGAUCACUGUCAACUACAUUGGAUAGAUACCCUAACGGCGAGCGGUUACAUACGCUUUUGGAAAAUAUUACGGAGAAAUUAGAUAGAAUAAUUAGUUCAUUUACUCAUUUGGACACAGAGUUCUUUCAGCUGAAACAGAUAACAAAAUCCAACAAGUUGAAGGGCAAUGUUGAGGGUUCAUCUACACGAAAUAGUGUUGCAAUGAAAGCAAAGCUGGCUUGGUCUAUUUUACAUUCUCUUCUUCAUUCGGAUAGAAUCCUUUACCGCCAAAAUGGAUUUAUCUGGUUAGGAGAUCUGCUUAUUGCUGAAAUAAGUGACUCGAGGAAUGGGAGUAUUUGGUCUAAUGUCAGGAGCUUGCAGAAUAAAAUUGCUUAUGCUGGUGGUCAUGAUUCCUCUGAUCCUUCUGAUAUUCCGUUGUCUAUCUGGCUGAUGUGUGGUCUUCUGAAGUCGAAGAACAAUUCUAUUAGGUGGGGCUUCCUAGUUGUUCUAGAGAGGCUUCUCAUGCGAUGCAAGUUUUUGUUAGAUGAGAGUGAAAUGCAACAGCCAAGCAACAGUGAUGUUAGCCCUGGCAAUAGGGAUACUCGACUGGAGAAAGCAAUUACAGUGAUAGACAUCAUGAGCAGUGCUUUGUCCUUGGUGGCUCAAAUAAACGAAACAGACCGUAUAAAUAUUUUAAAGAUGUGUGAUAUUCUAUUCUCUCAAUUGUGCUUGAAAGUUCCCAAUUCAAAUUUGAUGCCAUUUGGAGAAGGAAUACAGCGGCCUAAAGUUUUCACUCGCACAGAAGAAAUUAGAAAAACUAGUAAUAUAAAUUUUGUGUCUCAACAAGAAAGCUGUCCCUGGGAUCAGAUAAUGGAGGAAACUGAUAGCAAAUCAGGCUACAGUGUUAGUAGUCAUUUUGUAUGCGAGACAGCUUCUAUGGCUGCGCUGCUACUCCGAGGACAAGCCAUUGUGCCAAUGCAAUUAGUUGCACGUGUUCCAGCUGCUCUUUUCUAUUGGCCUUUGAUUCAACUUGCGGGUGCAGCAACUGACAACAUUGCACUAGGUGUUGCUGUUGGAAGCAAAGGAAGAGGGAACCUUCCUGGUGCUACUUCUGAUAUUCGGGCUACCCUUCUUUUGCUUCUAGUUGGUAAAUGUACUGCUGAUCCUACAGCUUUUCAGGAAGUUGGUGGAGAAGAAUUUUUCAGGGAACUUUUGGAUGAUACUGAUUCUAGGGUGGCAUAUUACUCUUCGGCUUUUCUAUUGAAGAGAAUGAUGACUGAAAAACCAGAAAAGUACCAACACAUGCUGCAAAAGCUUAUCUAUAAAGCUCAACAGAGUAACAAUGAAAAAUUGCUUGAGAAUCCAUAUCUUCAGAUGCGCGGGAUAUUCCAACUAUCAAAUGAACUUUGAACUUAGUUGCAUUUGACGAUUCUUCUCUGUAGAGUUUAAAUAUACAUCCAGCUGGAGGCACUGUAGUGUUCAUUAACAGGACUUUCCUUGUGAAUUUUUAACCCUAGCAAUAUUUGGCCCGACUCUCUGAGUCUGUUCUUGAUGUAUGCUUGACUAAGUGAGCCUGCACAAGAUAGUUUGGAAUCCUAAAGUAGUUCUAAGAUGCAAAGUUACUGAAUUUAGGCGAAGACUUUGCGAUUCCAAGCCUGACUCCCUUUCUUAGGGAAAAAAUGAUUAGAAUUGUGAGCUUUGAGACUCUGGAUGAUGGUGUAAAUUCUUAGAAUGCUGCUAUAUAUGCUCCCAGAUCUGCUGUACAAAUGGAGUGAAGGAAUGCCAGGAGAAAAAGUGGAGCGAUUGGAGCUGUCAAUUCAUCUGCCCUACAGUUUUGUUACUGGAUUGUGUAUAUCAAAGGGUUGAACAUAUCUUCAGAUAUUCUUUAUGCUUUACACAAUACAGAAGCAUUUCUGGGCAGCUAAAGGAGACUUUUUUUCUUUGUACAGAAUUAGAUUUUCCCUUGGCCUUACUUUUUUUUUUUUUUUGCAUUUUGGGGUUAAUAUCUGCUACUUUUUAAAGGCCAUCCUUGGUAAUAAAAAAAAGAACCAUUCAAGCUUUAACUCAUAGCUGUUCGUUUCCGCGAUGGUGAUACGAACUAAAAAAUAGGACCUCUUUAACAUGCUCCGAUUCCGGUAACAGGGAGUUAUCUCACCUUGGAUGUCUUUGUUUUUAAUGGACAUCUCCAAAGUGUGUUGCAUGACAUGACAUUGUAAAUAUCUGAAUUUGGCUUUUACAUUUUUUUGACUUUGCCUUAUUCUAUUCUUGUAAAAAUGUUUUGCUGAUAAUUUUUGCAUCAUAUUGCAAGUUUUGAUUGUUUGAUUUUUGAAGGAAAAAGAAAAGACAAGAAAAGGCUUUGCAUCUGA